ensembl:lncRNA
CUUUCUUUCCUUCUGUGGAUUGUUCUUCUCCCUUGAGCCCCUUAGACACCUUCCCUCCUCAGCCUCUUCAUAAGCCUUUAUUCCUAUCUUGAUGCAGGAUAGUUCGCUCUGUGUGCGUGUAAAGAACCAGAGCUGGCUAUGCCAUGACUUCCAUAUCUACUACUACUGGCUAGAUGUCACCGUGCAAAAUAAGAAGAUCAAAGUGUUCCCUGAUGGCGCAUCGCAGAUGAUGCCUAAAAUCUGUCUCCCCAUGAUGCUGUGUUCAAAGAGCAAAGCGCACAUAGGAGGCGGAAUCCUUCUCACCUUUCACCAGUUUGACCAUUGGGGGCAAGAAGCCAGCAAAGAAGAAACACAAAGUUUUCUUGUGGAAAUAUAUUACCCGAAGAAGCCUAUGAAUAUGAAGUUGUUUGGGCAGAAAGAUUUUCUCUUUCUAGCAACAUGAACAAGAAACUUUCGUUUGCUUUAGAACCUGAGAGUAUAUUUGAAGGUGAAGAUUGCACUCUAUAAUGGAGUACAGUUCUGCCAACGUAAAGCAAAGUCUACCCACAUAGGCAUCAUGUGGCAAGUAAGAAAACUGCACAGUUGAACAGACCUUAAAACAGUUUCCUUUUUAAGAUCUCUGCUUUGCAUAGAUACUAGACUUUGCAUCCUGCGGUUUAUUGCAUUCCUUCUUUUAGUUACACCUAGUUUAUUAGAAUGUAAAGAUCUUGGAAAAAAUCUCUGACUCUAUGAAAACUUUUUAAAGUGUGGAAGGCCAAGAGACUAAUUCCUUCUUUGCAUUCUCAGAUGCAAUCUGCAAAUGAGAGUUAAAAUCAGAGUUGUGAUUUUUUUUAUGUCUUUUAGUCCCCUUAGCUGAGUUUAAACCUUUUUACAAUAGCCUCUGGCCAAGGCUGACAUGAUUGUGUAUUCCUGAAGCCCUGGAAUCUAUGGAGAAAGCAAGAAUUUAUUCCAUUCUGUAUUAGAUUUCAAUCUCAAAGCCAUUAUUUCCUUUUCUGGUGUCUUGUUUUCUACUUUGUUUUACUGCAUGGGUUAUUGUUCACAUUGACUUUUUAUAUUCAGAAGAGAUAUAUUAGAUCUCUCUCUCUCUCUUCUUUCUUUUUUUUCUUUUCUUUUUUAAAAAUGUUUCUAGCAUAGCAAAGAAACGUUAGCAAAGAUUACAGAAACAUUAGCAAAGAUUACAGAAGAAGGCAUGUGUGUUACCACUAACAUAAGAGAUAGCAUCAUGCAUUUUCUUUGUUUGUACAAAUCCUGUAAGGGAAUAUGUUCAAGUAGAAGAAGAAAGGGUAAUGUAUGGCCCUCCAGAUUUUGGACUUCAGCUUCCCUGAGCCCUUGCCAUGUAGUCAGUGGUGGACAGUUACAGGAGAUGUACUCUACUAACAUCUGGAGGGUCAUGUAUUUAUCACCUUUGAAGUACAUCUUAGUUUAGACACCAUCUGUGGGGA